NNNNNNNCAGCCCGAGCCCUAAUUGUGGCUAAUCCCAUGGCAAUUCCAGGUCUCCAGCUGCUCUGGGGCUAGGGGGGGCUGAGCCAGGGCCCAGCGGGAGGGAGUGUGGGGGGGGAUGGUGGGCACCAAGCUCCGGCACAGGCAUGACAAGCCGGGCUUUGUGCCCACGCCGAGAGCCUGCCACAAUGUCCCCAUUGAGGCCAUGGGCGCAGGCAGCUGCUGGCACUGCAGGGCCAGGCCUGGGCCCGCCUGGGGCCCGGCUGCCUCCAGCUGCCGCCAGCGUGGGGGGAACAAGAGGGACGGCGCUCAACAAGGGCUGGGCUGGGGGUCCAUGGUAGCAGGGAAAAGGGGGGCACUGAGARCAGAGAGGGUCACACACGUGUGUGCACGGGCUGGGCUCAUAUGUGUGUCCCCCCCAGCAUGGCAGGGACAGUCCCCAGGCUGCUGGGCUGGCGGGUGGAGGGGGCCUGUCCUUGACCAGUGCAUAGCUGUGGCUGUGGCCAUGGUGGGGGCACCUGGUGGCCUGGGCCAGGGUUACUCCGCACUGUGGCAGGUCACAUCCCCUCGAUGUAGCAGGGACGGUCCCCAGGCUGCUGGACUGGGGGAGCCUGGCCUUGCCCAGUGCGUGGCYGUGGCCGUGGCCAGGCCAUGGCGGGGGGGCACUAGGUGGCCAGGCCCAGGCCACCCCGACCCAUGGUGGGUCAUGCCCCCCCCCCGACGUGGCCUGGGCCUGCUCCCUCGCCCACGAGUGUCCCCCAACCGGGCUCUGCGGUCACGUGAUGCAGCCGGAUCGUCCCCCCUCUCCCCAGGAUGCUCUGGCGCCCCCUCGACCAAUCAGAGCCCCGGGAUCGCCUGUAUCCUUCUCCACCAAUAGGGAGCCAGCUGGCUCCCCUCCGCCCUAGCCCUUUAAGAGCCCGGAGCUACGUCAUCGGGGCCAACUGGUCCUCUUCCCUCCGAUUGGCUACCGCCUGCGCUGACUCAGCCCCAGCGCUUCACCCCGAGGGAGGGGCUUCCGUCCUCCCACCGCGGCCUCAGUCCCGAUGGCGUCAUCGCCGCGCAGCGACCAAUAGAAGGCGCUCUCGGUCCUGACGGGCGGGCUGGCUGUCCAACCGCCGCGCGCGGCGCCGGGAGGCGGGGCGGGCGCGG
rnacentral:lncRNA from 1 species